rnacentral:lncRNA from 10 species
UGGCAGGAUCAAAAGCAGCUCCUGCAUGGGGACGCCGUGUCCUCCUGCUGUUAUCAUAGUAUGCCCUGUGCUCCCAGGAGGAGGCUGAGAUCAUAAAGGGCAUUGUGGCACCUACCUUGAUUUCUCUUGGAUCACUCAUUCUGAGGGAAGAUAGCUGCCAUGUUGGGAGGACGUGCAAGCAGCCCUGUGAAGAGGUCAACACAGGGGGGAACUGAAGCCCCUUCCAAACAGCUAGCACCAACUUGCCAGCCAUGUAAAGUGAUUCACCUUGGAAACAGAUCCUCCAGCCUCAGCCAAGCCUUCAGAUGCAACCUCAUGACAGACUCUGAACCA